rnacentral:rRNA from 1 species
ACUCCUACGGGAGGCAGCAGUGGGGAAUAUUGCACAAUGGGGGAAACCCUGAUGCAGCCAUGCCGCGUGUGUGAAGAAGGCCUUCGGGUUGUAAAGCACUUUCAGUAGGGAGGAAGGUAGUGUAGUUAACACCUGCAUUAUUUGACGUUACCUACAGAAGAAGCACCGGCUAACUCCGUGCCAGCAGCCGCGGUAAUACGGAGGGUGCGAGCGUUAAUCGGAAUUACUGGGCGUAAAGCGCAUGCAGGCGGCCUGUUAAGUCAGAUGUGAAAGCCCGGGGCUUAACCUCGGAAUUGCAUUUGAAACUGGCAGGCUAGAGUCUUGUAGAGGGGUUAGAAUUUCAGGUGUAGCGGUGAAAUGCGUAGAGAUCUGAAGGAAUACCAGUGGCGAAGGCGGCCCCUGGACAAAGACUGACGCUCAGAUGCGAAAGGCGUGGGAGCAAACAGGAUUAGAGUACCCCUGGUAGACUGUCA